GACGAUUGAUCGAGAGUGACUCUAUGGCUAGUACUCGAAAGGUUUCGGUGCCGUACUGAUGGUGAAGCGCCAGCGGCUCAAGUGGUGCGGGCUCUCCACUAAUCCCCGAGGAGUCUCUGCCGCUGGAUAUCUGUGAUGGGCCCGUGAUAUCCGAGAGUCGCCCCCGGGAGCGUUUCUCGCGAUCCGUUCUCAACGAUCGUAUCGCAGCGCUGGAGAAAGCGGGCGCAGCAUGCGGAGCGUCGCUCCAGAACUCGGACGGCUCGUCGUAACGAGGCGAAGCCGGUCGAACGAGCGGCACCAGUUGUGCUUCGUCGUCUUCGAGUUCAGCAACCGUGUCUGGGAGCGGGUCCAUGGCACCAGUUUCGUCGCUGAACGUGCGACAUCGUUGCGCUGCCGCCGACGAUAGCGGCUCUCUGGCUGGACGACGAAGCGUCAGGUCCGAGUCUGGGUGUGGUAACGGAUCCAGCACUUGGCUGUUCGUGCAGCGCGCCUCUGAUGAUUGUGCUAGACUCGGGUCCGAAUUUGGGUACGGUGACGGAUCCAGUACUGGGCUACGUGUGGAGCGCACUUCUGAUGCAUGUGCCGAGCUCGAAUGCACCCGCGUAUCAUAGGCAUCGAGCGACGCUUGCACUCCAUGCAGUUGCCAGUUACGAUCCGUUUGCGUGGGUAGGGCGGUCGUUCGGUGUGCGUCAACGUCCGACGUUGCUUUCCAUUCAGUGUGCUGAGAAUCCGCAGAGCUGCUUGCUGACAACAACUCGGGGGACACCCAUUUGGACGCGCUACCGUUCUCGCUACUGCACGCUGCCUCCAUGGGGCCAGGUGCAGCUGCGCUUGCAGCGCCAUACGCUUGAUCAGCGGGCAAAGCGGGUAGCUCCUCUUCGCGAUGCGCACGAGGCGCUCCUUGUUGCACGGAAUCAACGGACGCUGGGGUCUCUAUCGCCACGCUUCGGGACUCCGGGGCGUCGACAAGCUCGGACGCCCUGGUCCAUGGAGAGCGCCAGGCUUUUGGACUAGUUCCAAGCUCAAUGCUCCUUGGUGAGCGGCACGACCGCGGUGCAGUUUCCGCCUUGAUGCCGACGCUAGCCGGCCUCGCAUUGGCCAGUGCAUCUUCUGUUACGGUUACUGAAUUCGAAACCGCAUGCUUCGCUGCUGCGAGCACCGCUACAGUGCGCACCUCGCGACCGUAACUAUCCAUCCGCACCUCAAUGACCUUUCUUGAUGCUCCCAGGAGCCUGCUUCGCUUUCGAAACCGUUCAAUUCGCUCGAUGUGCUGUGGCAAAGGCGGCAAGCUCAGCGGUGUCCGCCAGGUUUGGAGGCCAGCAGCAUCCGCCGCCGAGUCGGAACUGAAAGCCCGACAGGCGACCUCUCGCCAAAGAGGCGUCUGCGGAAACCAGCGUACGCUCGACCCGCUUGUCGUGAAAGCUUUGUCCUCAAUGGCGCUGUAAAAGGGUUUCUGCUGAGCAACGCCCCAUUCUGACUUGAAGGGAAAAGGCGGGUGCUGAUCUGGAAUCAUGAACCAAUUCGCUGGCGAUACGUUUGAUCGCUCGAGAUGGAAAGCCGCCAGACACCAGCUCGCCUGUCGGGGCCUCGACGUCGUCGACGCCUGUGCUUGAACCGCCUCCGAUUCGUGACCAGGCUGUAGUUCCGAUGCAGAAGCCAACACGGACUCUGGAACAGGCGUCCUACUUGGGGCGACCGACGGGGAACAAGGCGGGCUGAGUCCCAGCUCCGUGUCUUGACGAUGCACCAAUGACGCCGGCGAGGUUGCCACCUUUGCCGUCUCCGCCCCUAGCCCUGGUGUUUCAUUCAAAGGCAGCGAACAUUCCAGAAUGUCUGCGCAUUCCUUCUGGGUAGCGACUUCAUCCACGGGCUGCUCUUCGUCUUCGUAAACGG